rnacentral:misc_RNA from 1 species
AAUGAUAGUAUAAAAUUUCAAUAUGUGUUAAAAGCUUGGCAUGUUCUGCGCGAUCCAAAGUUGAAAGAAGAGUAUGAUGCCAUACUAAAGCAAGAAGAAUUAGAUUUGGAAAAUAUUUUAAUAUAUGCAAAAAUAUGGGCGAAUGAAUUGGAAGAAAUGGAUAAUAAUAAAGAUAUGUUGUUUUAUCAAUGCAGAUGUGGGGGGUUAUAUUGUAUCGAGAAGCAACAAAUUCAAAAGAAAAAUCAGAUGAUACACGUUCCUUGUUCGGAGUGUACUUUUUUUUCUAUCAUUGAAACAUAAUACUUGUAUGUAACAGCCAUUGACAUUAGGACAGACACAAGGUGAAAAACAUGUAAUUUAAAAUGCAGCAACAUUUUCUAUUUCUUAUAAAAAAUGAUACAACAGAUAACACAUCAUUACAAAUAUAAACUAUUGAGCAAUAUACAAAUAAAAACACGAUCCUUAAAAUAUCCUAGGUUCAAUAAUAAAAAUUGCAUUUACAUAAAUCGUGUCUUGCAUUAAUAAUUGAAUUUACAAGACUUAUUGUCAAUCAGAAUUAACUGUUUGUAUAGCUUAUGCAAUUUCUGUAAUGAUAGAGUUUGUAUAAAAAAUUAAUUUACUAUAAAAAUCUAUAAAUUUGUAACUUAUUACAUAUUUCUUAAUAUUUCUUACUUUGGAAAAAUUUGUAAUUUAAUUAUGUUUAUUCUUGCAUGAUAACUGAUUUUAUGUUAUUCAGUUGAUUCGUGCAUAUUGCACAGGAUAAAUUUGCAACUCUUAUUAUUGCACCAUGGCAAAACCAGACUUGUUACUAAUGUCGAAAUCAAUAUUUUAUUUAAAUAUAGACAAUCCAAUUAAAUUACUAUCACGAAUAUUCGAUUAACCCUGGUUGUUUAAUCGGCAAACAAUAAAUAGCGAAUGACUUUUGAACAUGUUACGCAUGGAAAAUUAAUCAAAUACUAUAAUGGAAUUCGUCAAAGGAAUUCAGGAAAAAAUAAAGAAGAGAAAGGCAGUAAUGCAGUAAGGAAAAACGCACCAGUUUUAACAUCCCACAGUUUAACUGUACCAUCAUCCGAUGAAGUAAUUACAAAAUGGCUGUUGAACUGAAGGCAAGUGACAGCAGACUGAUGCUUAUUUGGACCAGACAAGGUUUGAAGGCAGUGACCACUAACAAUAUCCCAUACUUUAACAGUUGAAUCUGCAUUUCCAGAUACUAAGAUAUUAUUGCGCAAUUCCAUUCCAGAAGUGAGCGACUGAUGUCCCAUUAAUGUAUGUCUACAUGCACCAGUUUCAACUUCCCAUACUCUUAUGCUUGUAUCCAAAGAACCGCUAACAACAUGUACACCAUCAAACUAAUAAGAAGAAAGAAAGAAAAGAGUGCAUUAACACUUCUUGAUAUAUAAUAUCUAUGUGUAAACAAAUUUAGUGCUGUCCAAGGUAUGUCUUAAAGUUUUGUAGAUGUAGAACUGUUUGUCCAAUGAAAUGACAAUAUGUAAAGAGAGCCAAAAUUUUAUUACAAAUAAUUAUUUCAAUUGUGAACAGCAUCAGUUUAAAAAAUAUUAUAAAUUACAUAUUUUUCUUAAUAUUAGAUUGCCCGAAAAGUUUCUUUCGUUUUAUAAGGAAAUAAUAGACGCACAAUGUUUUUUUGUUUUAUAUUAGUUUAUUCAAUUAUUCACGAACAUUCAAUUCAAUAAAAUAGUAUAAAACAGAAAUUGUCGUUCAUCUAUUAUCACCUUAUGAAAUGAAAGAAACUUUUCGGACAACCUAACAUACAUUAUAUAUUGUAUCGCAUUAGUCCAUGUAUUACUUUUGUAUAAUUCGUAUAUACAGUUUAAUUAACGCUUACUUGGAGAGAAUAAACACGAUUUGUAUGUCCUUGUAAAGUAUGAAGGCACUCCUCGCGUUCUGGAUUCCAAACCUUAACCAUAUAAUCGUAGGCUCCACUGACUACUAAUUUUCCAUCAUAU